GACGAACGCUGGCGGCGUGCUUAACACAUGCAAGUCGAACGGUAAGGCCCCUUCGGGGGUACACGAGUGGCGAACGGGUGAGUAACACGUGAGCAACCUGCCCUUGACUCUGGGAUAACAGUUGGAAACAGCUGCUAAUACCGGAUACGACCUUCGAUGACAUCAUCUGGAGGUGGAAAGCGCUUUAGCGGUCAAGGAUGGGCUCGCGGCCUAUCAGCUUGUUGGUGAGGUAACGGCUCACCAAGGCUUCGACGGGUAGCCGGCAUGAGAGGGGAGCCGGCCACGCAGGGACUAAGAUACGGCCCAGACUCCUACGGGAGGGGGCAGUGGGAAAUAUUGCACAAUGGGCGCAAGCCUGGUGCAGCAACGGCGCGUGCGGGAUGACGGCCUUCGGGUAGUAAACCGCUUUCAGUUCCGACGAAGGGCAAGUGACGGUAGGAACAGAAGAAGGACCGGCCAACUACGUGCCAGCCGCCGCCGUAA
rnacentral:rRNA from 1 species